rnacentral:misc_RNA from 1 species
CACUUCUUGAUUCACUAGCAGGUAUAUAUGGUUUCCCUUUGUCGCUUCCAUGCACAAAUGUUUGAUCUCUUUGCUCAUUCAGCGAUUAAAUAAUUUAAGUUUCUAUUUGAUCGUUUUCUUGCGACCAAUUACUGAUUAUGGGCAUUCUUUUAUUCAGGUUUCCAAGUUAAUUUGGCUUCAAUUUCCAUAUUUUGUACUACUUAGACCAAUUUUUUUCUACCCAAAAAGUUUCUUCCGAUUGGAUCUUUUAAGAUUAGAUCAAGCAAACUAACUCAUCUCAGGAUAAAUCCAAUUGAAUCCCACUCAACACUUGAAAUGGAAAAGUUUAGGGAACGAGAGAGGAUCUCUCAUGGUGUUUAGCUAAUUAAGUAGCGUUUAUGCAGCAUCUCUUUGAAGGAGAGGCAUGAGCAUGGCCAUAUGGCCUGUUAGAAUUAUAUCUGACUGCCAACGGGGGACUGCUAGUUCAUAUUAUCCCAGAUGGCCCACUAAUUUAUGAUGCAACUAUUUAUGGCAUAAUUGACAAGGAAAGAAAAAUUCAUUUACAUGCUAGAUAAUUGAUUUAUUCUCUGAGUGAAGCUGGGAACACAUGGCCUCCUCUGAUCCCUGAGUAUUUGAUUAAAAAAAAAAGAAGAAAAAAAUUAGUUACCACCAUUAGGAGAUAGGACUUGGAAGCACAGUGUCAACCUUCUUUCCCUUGCCUCUCAGUUUCCAAUGCUCUAGCUAGUUUACAAAGGCAGAAGUCAUAGUGCCUGACCUGAUAUAUUGGUUGUGCUGUGUUUGAAUGAUUUUUUUUUUUAAAUAGAAUAUAUUAAAAAUGAGGAAAACCUUAGCUUAAAAGGUCCAAAAAUAACCCGAAUCGAUAGAUCAAGCUAAGUAAAAAAACCUGGUAAAGUGACAUAAGAAAGAACAAGGGACACUAAAAAAGAAGGAAUCUCGUGUUUGAAUGAAUUAAUUAUUGCUUUGAAAUUGUUAUAUCAUGUAUAUUAAACCAAUGCUAAGGAACGAUAUUGGAUGACUAAUCAACAAAAAGUUUGCACCACUAAAUUUAGUCAAUUUUGUCUUGCCUAAUUUAUUUUGUCAAAUUUACUUGCUUUCCUUUGUAAAAGUUAUUAAUGACUAAGUUGGAUUAGCAUUAUGCAUCAGUUGGUCUUCAGCAAGGGGAAUAAAAAAACAAACUGUAAUUGCUACUGAUAAUGCCAAGAAUUCUGAUUUUGGAGAUUCAAUUAUAGUUACUUUUUCUUGUGGUCAAAUCUUUUUCAAAAGGAUUUCUUAGCAAGUUGUAAUUCUAGUAACAAUGUACUAUUUUAGUUAUAAUUCCUGCAUGUUGACUGUAAAGAUUACAUCAGAGGUCAAAUAUUAUGCUUUUCUUUUUUUGCCAUGUUGCUAGUUUUCUGAAUGUUGCCUUUCAUAAAUUUUUCACUAAAUGAAUUCUUCACCACAGGUAGACUCUCAAGAAAAGUGA